rnacentral:rRNA from 1 species
GCUUACGGUCACACUAGGUUUGGCCUGGUUAGUACUUGGAUGGGAGACCACCUGGGAAUACCAGGUGCUGUAAGCU